GACGAACGCUGGCGGCGUGCUUAACACAUGCAAGUCGAACGGAAAGGCCCUGCUUUUGUGGGGUGCUCGAGUGGCGAACGGGUGAGUAACACGUGAGUAACCUGCCCUUGACUUUGGGAUAACUUCAGGAAACUGGGGCUAAUACCGGAUAGGAGCUCCUGCUGCAUGGUGGGGGUUGGAAAGUUUCGGCGGUGUGGGAUGGACUCGCGGCUUAUCAGCUUGUUGGUGGGGUAGUGGCUUACCAAGGCUUUGACGGGUAGCCGGCCUGAGAGGGUGACCGGCCACAUUGGGACUGAGAUACGGCCCCGACUCCUACGGGAGGCAGCAGUGGGGAAUAUUGCCCAAUGGGCGGAAGCCUGAUGCAGCAACGCCGCGUGCGGGAUGACGGCCUUCGGGUUGUAAACCGCUUUCGCCUGUGACGAAGCGUGAGUGACGGUAAUGGGUAAAGAAGCACCGGCUAACUACGUG
rnacentral:rRNA from 1 species